GAUGAACGCUAGCUACAGGCUUAACACAUGCAAGUCGAGGGGCAGCAUGAACUUAGCUUGCUAAGUUUGAUGGCGACCGGCGCACGGGUGCGUAACGCGUAUCCAACCUUCCCGUUACUCAGGUAUAGCCUUGCGAAAGUAAGAUUAAUCCCUGAUGACAUAUGUUUACUGCAUGGUGAUCAUAUUAAAGAUUUAUCGGUAACGGAUGGGGAUGCGUUCCAUUAGGUAGUUGGUGAGGUAACGGCUCACCAAGCCCGCGAUGGAUAGGGGUUCUGAGAGGAAGGUUCCCCACACUGGAACUGAGACACGGUCCAGACUCCUACGGGAGGCAGCAGUGAGGAAUAUUGGUCGAUGGUCGGAAGACUGAACCAGCCAAGUAGUGUGAGGGAUGACUGCCCUAUGGGUUGUAAACCUCUUUUAUAUGGGAAUAAAAAGAUUACGUGUAGUCUAUUGUAUGUACCUUAUGAAUAAGCAUCGGCUAAUUCCGUGCCAGCAGCCGCCGUAACAC
rnacentral:rRNA from 1 species